UGCAUAGAAACUCGAUAAGGCUUUAAGUUUCGAUUCAGGUUCGGAUCUAUUAAAAUGCGUAAGCUCCAAACUUGCAUCUAUAUUUCUAUAUUUAUAUAUAAUAUAGCCAUGUCUUGUAGCCAAUCCUCCUUAUAUUUCUAUAUUUAUAUAUAAUAUGUGAUGGGAGGCAAAAUGGAUCAUCCUAUUUUCGGCAUGAAGUCACCCGAUUCUGGCCAAGCCGAGCUCAGAAGGCUGAGCCGACCUCAGAAGGCCGACCUCAUAAGGCCGACCCCAGAAGACCGAGCCGACCUCAUAAGGCCGAUCCUAGAAGACCGAGCCGACCUCAUAAGGCUGACCUCAGAAGACCAAGUCGACUUCGUAAGGCUGACCUCAGAAGGCCGAGCCAACCUCAAAAGGCCGAGCCGACCCUAGAAGGCCGACCUCAGAAGGCCGAUCUCGUCGUCCAUAUGCUGCGGCCAUGCCCUGCAGCAGCCUCACCGCACCAUGCUUGUUUGCUGGCCAUGCCACGACAUAUCAAUCAGGAACCAUGCCUUGCUGCCCCAGCCAUGCCCUGCCACAUCUACCAAUGUCUUACCAUUCACAGGAACGGUCUACGACAUGCGCCUCAAGGAAGCUCUAGCUGCGCGCCAUCUAGCUUAAAGACAUCUUCUUCCAUGAUAAGGACGGGUCAUACCUUCGCCACCUGGGCACCUCUACGGAAACUAUAAAUAACCCCAUCAGGUAACGCCUAAAGAAUUUUUGGACCAAUGGAGAUUCACUCUAACUUCAUCAUCGGAGGGCCCUCAUCGGAACCUCACCAGUGAGGCUUUGUGCAGGUCCAGCAGUGCGAAGAAAACGGCUUCUUUCUCCGCUCUAGCCAGCAGCUCCCAUAACUCUCCCUGCGUGGUCACCCUCGGGCCAAAUUUGAACCACAAUAUUUGGUGCUAGAGGAAGGGCCUGAGUCGUGAUCAUAAGGUUAAGGGGUCACAGAGCUUCAAAUGCAUCGAGGAGCCGGGCACCAACAUCUAACAACUCGCUCCAAAGUCCACGCCCUGCAGAACCGGCGGACUGAAUUUCUCAGGUCCAGCCGGAGUAGUUCAGCCUACUUGUCCAACAAGUCCAAGCGCUCACUGCGGCCGUUCAAAGCCUGCAGCAAGUAGGAGACCAGCCUGUACUCCCUCCUCAUGAGCAUGAGUCCUUAGGACACUGCUUGCGAUGCCAUUUUCCUGUAGAGCGUCACCACCAUCGAAGCUCCUACCGAGUUUGGUCCCCAAGCCAGGAGGGCCCUUUUGGUAGUGAGACUAGAUCCCGCACUGAAGGAACAAAAUCGUGCGGGGGCGUAGUACCUAUGCGGAUCCCCCAUAACGGACAAUACCUCAUGACGGGAGGCCGACCUUCGUUUUUCGUGACCUCAACAGUUGGUGCUUUCGUUGAGAGCCGACCUUAGAAGGCCGAGCUUAGAAGAUCGAGCCGACAUCAGAAGGCCGAGCUUAGAAGGAUCAGAAGGCCUGGCGGAAGAAGAUGCUCCUGGAUGGCCAUGAAUCCUGCAUGAUGAUGGCUCCUCGACCUCGGGGGGCAGGGCCUCAUACUCCUGGAUGCACAAACGACGACGCGCCCUGGCCCGAGCUCGGAGCGCUGCCAACCGUGAGCUGAAGGGGCUCCCUCGACUGCAGAACCAUUCGACGCCAAUUCGACUCCAUUUCAUGCCAAUUCGACUCCAUUUCGACGCCAAUUCAACGCCAUUUCGACGACGUUCGACGCCAUUUCAACGACGUUCGACGCCAUUUCGACGACGUUCGACGACAAUUCGAUGCUAUUUUGACACCUUCUGUGACGACGCGCCUCGAUCUGAGUGGGGGUGCCCUGCUGAGCAACCACGAGCCAAAGAAGGCCGCCGAAGUCGACCUCAGAGUAGAGUCGUUUAGCUCGGCUCGGAAAGCUCGGCCUAAAGACGUUAGUUUCAACGACACGAGAGGUACGCCCUACUCGACACAUAUAUCUUCACAAAUAUUUGGCUGAAUUACAGGACAAUCAACAACUCGGCUACUUCCUUCGCUCGAGCCAACAAACGACUCGAACUCGAAAGUCGGAGGGCAAUGAUGGGAGGCAAAAUGGAUCGUUCUAUUUUCGGCAUGAAGUCACCCAAUUCUAGUCAAGCCGAGCCCAGAAGGCCGACCUCAGAAGGCCGACUCUAGAAGACUGAGCCAACCUCAUAAGGCCGAGCCGACCUCAGAAGGCCGACCCCAGAAGGCCGUGCCGAUCUCAGAAGGCCGACCUCAGAAAGCCGAUCUUGUCGUCCACAUGCUGCGGCCAUGCCCUGCAACAGCCUCACCGCACCAUGCUUUGCUUGCUGGCCACGCCACGACAUAUCAAUCAGGGACUAUGCCCUGCUGCCCCAGCCAUGCCCUGCCACAUCUACCAACACCUUACCGUUCACAAGAACGGCCUAAGCCGUGCGCCUCAAGCAAGCUCUAGUUGCGCGCCAUCUGACUAAAAGCCAUCUCCUCCUAUGAUGAGGACGGGUCAUACCUUCGCUACCUGGGCACCUCUACGGAAACUAUAAAUAGCCCCAUCAGAUAACACCUAAAGGACUUUUGGACCAACGGAGAUCCACUCUAACUUCAUCAUCGGAGGGCUCUCACCAAAACCCCACCAGUGAGGCUUUGUGCAAGUCCGUCGGUGCGCAGGAAGCGGCUUCUUCCUCCGCUCCAGCCAGCAGCUCCCUUGACUCCCCCAGCGUGGUCA
rnacentral:lncRNA from 1 species